UUGAUUUUGAUUUUAAUGAAUCCCGUUGCAUCUGCCAUAUUGCCUUUUUAUCCUAAGGUAGGAGACCCCUGGAAAAAGUAGCUAAUUAUGAAGAUCAGAUUCUGUAAAGUCUGUUAUGCUAGUAUGUAUACCUUCUGAGUUACGUUUUUCUUAUGUCAGUAUUAUUUGAUCUCUCAUUAGACAACAUGAAUAUGUAGACAUGGAACAUACAUCACCGUUGGUCAAAGUCAACUUGGGAGUAAAAGUUGCUAAAAAAUUAGAAAUUACACAUAAAUGAUCAAAAGUCAUCAUUACAAUAAGAUUUACAUUAGUGCUGUCUGCUUUAUAGCAAGUAGUCA
rnacentral:lncRNA from 1 species